UACGUAGGAGGCAAGCGUUGUCCGGAAUUACUGGGCGUAAAGCGCGCGCAGGCGGCGAUCUACGUCUGGGGUGAAAGCCCGGAGCUCAACUCCGGGACUGCCUUGGAUACGGGAUCGCUUGAGGAUUGGAGAGGCAAGGGGAAUUCCACGUGUAGCGGUGAAAUGCGUAGAUAUGUGGAGGAACACCUGUGGCGAAGGCGCCUUGCUGGCCAAUUUCUGACGCUGAGGCGCGAAAGCGUGGGGAG
rnacentral:rRNA from 1 species